rnacentral:rRNA from 1 species
UGCCCUACAGUUCCCCAUCCGGGAACAAGGAGCCGGUAUCAGGCACAUCUUGAGCCCAUGACGCCUUGCUUAGCCACACCCUCAAGGGAACUCAGCAGUGAUAAACAUUAAGCCAUAAGUGAAAGCUUGACUUAGUUAAGGUUAAGAGGGCCGGUAAAACUCGUGCCAGCCACCGCGGUUAUACGAGAGGCUCAAGUUGAUAGCCGCCGGCGUAAAGCGUGGUUAAGCUAAAAGUCAUACUAAAGCCAAACAUCUUCAAGACUGUUAUACGUAGCCGAAGACAGGAAGUUCAACCACGAAAGUGGCUUUAUAGAUCUGACCCCACGAAAGCUAAGGAACAAACUGGGAUUAGAUACCCCACUAUGCCUAGCCCUAAACAUUAAUAGUACUAUACACCCACUAUCCGCCCGGGAACUACGAGCAAUAGCUUAAAACCCAAAGGACUUGGCGGUGCUUUAGAUCCACCUAGAGGAGCCUGUUCUAGAACCGAUAACCCCCGUUCAACCUCACCCUUCCUUGUUUAUUCCGCCUAUAUACCGCCGUCGUCAGCUUACCCUGUGAAGGGUAAAUAGUAAGCAAAAUUGGCACAGCCUAAAACGUCAGGUCGAGGUGUAGCGUAUGGAGGGGGAAGAAAUGGGCUACAUUCGCUACUACAGCGAACACGAAAGAUGUACUGAAACAUCCAUCUGAAGGAGGAUUUAGCAGUAAGCAA